ACGGGUGCGUAACACGUGGGCAAUCUGCCGAAAAGUGGGGGAUAGCUCGCCGAAAGGCGAAUUAAUACCGCAUGUGGUGAGGGACGACAUCUUCCUGAAUCCAAAGCCGGGGCAACCUGGCGCUUUUUGAGGAGCCCGCGGCCUAUCAGCUAGUUGGUGAGGUAACGGCUCACCAAGGCUAUGACGGGUAGCUGGUCUGAGAGGACGACCAGUCACACUGGAACUGAGACACGGUCCAGACACCUACGGGUGGCAGCAGUCGAGAAUUUUUCUCAAUGGGGGAAACCCUGAAGGAGCGACGCCGCGUGGAGGAUGAAGGCUUUCGGGUUGUAAACUCCUGUCAUUUGGGAACAAGGUGCACCGGUUAACUGCCGGAGUAUUGAUGGUACCAGAAGAGGAAGGGACGGCUAACUCUGUGCCAGCAGCCGCGGUAAUACAGAGGUCCCAAGCGUUGUUCGGAUUCAUUGGGCGUAAAGGGUGCGUAGGUGGCGCUGUAAGUCGGGUGUGAAAUUUCGGAGCUUAACUCCGAAACUGCAUUCGAUACUGCGGUGCUUGAGGACUGGAGAGGAGACUGGAA
rnacentral:rRNA from 1 species